UGGGGAAUUUUGGACAAUGGGCGAAAGCCUGAUCCAGCAAUGCCGCGUGUGUGAAGAAGGCCUUCGGGUUGUAAAGCACUUUUGUCCGGAAAGAAAUCCUUGGCUCUAAUACAGUCGGGGGAUGACGGUACCGGAAGAAUAAGCACCGGCUAACUACGUGCCAGCAGCCGCGGUAAUACGUAGGGUGCAAGCGUUAAUCGGAAUUACUGGGCGUAAAGCGUGCGCAGGCGGUUUGCUAAGACCGAUGUGAAAUCCCCGGGCUCAACCUGGGAACUGCAUUGGUGACUGGCAGGCUAGAGUAUGGCAGAGGGGGGUAGAAUUCCACGUGUAGCAGUGAAAGUGCGUAGGAGAUGUGGAGGAAUACCGAUGGCGAAGGCAGCCCCCUGGGCCAAUACUGACGCUCAUGCACGAAAGCGUGGGGGAGCAAACAGGAUUAGAUACCCUGGUAGUCCACGCCCUAAACGAUGUCAACUAGUUGUUGGGGAUUCAUUUCCUUAGUAACGUAGCUAACGCGUGAAGUUGACCGCCUGGGGAGUACGGUCGCAAGAUU
rnacentral:rRNA from 1 species